rnacentral:rRNA from 1 species
UACGGAAGGCAGCAGGGGGGAAUAUUGCACAAUGGGCGCAAGCCUGAUGCAGCCAUGCCGCGUGUAUGAAGAAGGCCUUCGGGUUGUAAAGUACUUUCAGUCGUGAGGAAGGUGUUAAGGUUAAUAACCUUAGCAAUUGACGUUAGCGACAGAAGAAGCACCGGCUAACUCCGUGCCAGCAGCCGCGGUAAUACGGAGGGUGCGAGCGUUAAUCGGAAUUACUGGGCGUAAAGGGCACGCAGGCGGUUAAUUAAGUUGGAUGUGAAAUCCCCGGGCUUAACCUGGGAAUGGCAUUCAAGACUGGUUAGCUAGAGUCUUGUAGAGGGGGUAGAAUUCCAUGUGUAGCGGUGAAAUGCGUAGAGAUGUGGAGGAAUACCGGUGGCGAAGGCGGCCCCUGGACAAAGACUGACGCUCAUGUGCGAAAGCUGGGGAGCAAACAGGGAUUAGAUACC